CCCUUAGAUGUCCUGGGCCGCACGCGCGCUACAAUGAUGAAUUCAACGAGUUUAUAACCUUGGUUGAAAAGCCUGGGUAAUCUUUUGAACUUUCGUCGUGAUGGGGCUAGACCCUUGCAAUUAUUGGUCUCCAACGAGGAAUUCCUAGUAAACGCAAGUCAUCAGCUUGCAUUGAUUACGUCCCUGCCCUUUGUACACAUUGCCCGUCGCACCUACCGAUUGAAUGGUCCGGUGAAAUCUUCGGAUUGAGACUUUGUUUUCUUCACGGAAAACGCUGUUUUAAAAAGUUGAUUAAACCUUACCAUUUAGAGGAAGGUGAAGUCGUAACA
rnacentral:rRNA from 1 species